rnacentral:rRNA from 1 species
UACGAAGGGUGCAAGCGUUACUCGGAAUUACUGGGCGUAAAGCGUGCGCAGGCGGUUGGACAAGACAGAUGUGAAAUCCCCGGGCUCAACCUGGGAAUGGCAUUUGUGACUGUUCGGCUAGAGUGUGUCAGAGGGGGGUAGAAUUCCACGUGUAGCAGUGAAAUGCGUAGAGAUGUGGAGGAAUGACCGAUGGCGAAGGCAGCCCCCUGGGAUAACAC